GACGAACGCUGGCGGCGUGCUUAACACAUGCAAGUCGAACGAUGAAGCCCUUCGGGGUGGAUUAGUGGCGAACGGGUGAGUAACACGUGGGCAAUCUGCCCUGCACUCUGGGACAAGCCCUGGAAACGGGGUCUAAUACCGGAUACUGAUCGCCUUGGGCAUCCUUGGUGAUCGAAAGCUCCGGCGGUGCAGGAUGAGCCCGCGGCCUAUCAGCUUGUUGGUGAGGUAAUGGCUCACCAAGGCGACGACGGGUAGCCGGCCUGAGAGGGCGACCGGCCACACUGGGACUGAGACACGGCCCAGACUCCUACGGGAGGCAGCAGUGGGGAAUAUUGCACAAUGGGCGAAAGCCUGAUGCAGCGACGCCGCGUGAGGGAUGACGGCCUUCGGGUUGUAAACCUCUUUCAGCAGGGAAGAAGCGAAAGUGACGGUACCUGCAGAAGAAGCGCCGGCUAACUACGUG
rnacentral:rRNA from 1 species